UUGAGUAGAAAUGCAAGGUUG
ensembl:piRNA 21ur-5305 ncRNA